CCUACGGGUGGCAGCAGUGGGGAAUAUUGCACAAUGGGGGAAACCCUGAUGCAGCAACGCCGCGUGGGUGAAGGAGCGUUUCGGCGCGUAAAGCCCUGUCAGCGGGGCAGAAGAAAGACGGUACCCGACCAAGAAGCCCCGGCUAACUAAGUGCCAGCCGCCGCGGUAAUACGUAGGGGGCGAGCGUUCUCCGGAAUUACUUGGUGUAAAGGGAGCGUAGACGGGGAGGUAAGCCUGAAGUGGCAGCCCGCGGCCCAGCCGCGGAACUGCUUUGGGAACGGUUUUGCUGUAGUAUGGGAGGGGUAAGCGGAAUGCCUGGUGUAGCGGUGAAAUGCGUAGAUAUCAGGAGGAACACCGGUGGCGAAGGCGGAUUACUGGACCAUAACUGACGUUGAGGCUCGAAAGCGUGGGGAGCGAACAGGAUUAGAUACCCUUGUAGUC
rnacentral:rRNA from 1 species